CGGUUUAUCAAAUACUAAAUGGCCGGCAGUCUAGUGACUAUUGUUAAAGUUGAAUUUUUAUAAGAUAAACCUAUCCCCAACCCCAAACCCUUUUCUAACCCUAACCCCUAACCCCUAACCCUAACCUUUUGAGCGUUAGAAAAGUCGGAAAAAAAAGUUUAAAAAAUUUUAAGAAAAAACAAUGCUAAGUCAGACAAAACACAUCCCGACCCCGUUUAACUUUUCCGCACGCAGCGCCCUUGCCGUAUGAGCUAACGGCAAGCUCGGUAAAAGCACGGUUAAUAGAAGGAGACUGGUUAGGCCAGCCGGCAAACUUCAAAGGGUCUCUGAAGUUAUGUUGGGAACCCCAAAAAUAAAUGUCACGUGGUGCGAUCCCUGCAUCAACAAGGAGUGAUACUAAGAAAACAUUAAGAGAUUUAGAGUGUUUUGCAAAAUUUAAGCGAUUUUUAUACCUUUUUUGCAAGUUGAAAGCAUAUUUUUAUGGAUACACGGCGUUUAUGGACAUCCCACAGGAAAAAUAUCAAAUUAUAAUGACUCAAGAACAAAAAAUCGAACGUAAAGCACCGAGGUUGUUUGACACUCGUAUUGAGUAUGGCACACGGUAUGAACAGAUCAAGCCAAAGCGAGUCUGAAAUUUACCUAGAAGAUUCUAAAAAUGAAGACUAUAAUCUUGAAGUUACCGUGGCUGUUACGCAGGCUGAAUGAGAGGAUAUAUAGGACGAAUUUAAUGACGCUUUGAGCGAAAUACAUGGUGAAAAAUCGUUCCCUUGUCCAAAGUGUGACAAAUUGUGUACUAAAGUCUAUUAAUUUAAAGGCGGCUUAACCAGACACACGAAUUCGAAGCAUUGCGAAUUUUCUUCCCAGCAAACAUGACCAGAAUUGCAUAUUUUUGCUACGAUACUGUUGCGUCGUUUGUGGAAUCGAUCAAGUCGCAAAUUAUAAGAGAAAAAUUGUAUGGGGUUGAAAUGAGCAACAGCGCCAAGACUGCAUCAUGCACUCAAGCUUUGUUUUGAUGCUUUAUUCAAGCUAAGUUCUGUUGAAACCUGACCAAGCUGAGCGUGAACCUUUGUCGUAUGUCGCAGGCUAUAUAGUAUCAAAACUUUUCCAGACAAAUAAACGAAAGUGUGGGGUGUAACACAACGACGAACUAAAUUGUGCUUGGAACAUGUCAUCAAAUUGUUGAGGAAGGUCACACUUUUAUAUGCAAGGGUAGUACUAUCUGAACAAGGAAGGGCCUGAAAAGAUUAGCUAUAUCAGCAACAUAAACUGUUGACAAUCAUGUAAAUUGUGAAAAUGAUUGGAAACUAUACAUGUGUUAUCAUUUAUACCACACUCUGACCUCGACUGACAUUAGCUCUUGCAGCAACAAUAUGUAGGCUCCAAAAGUGCGAGGUGUACCAGAUUACCAGAGUUACAUAUAUGGUAAAUGCUCUCGAUUAGGUCUAAUAUAAACAUAGAUAUGUAUAUUUUUCAUUUGAAACUGCCAUUUACAAAAAAAAACUUCAACACCAUACUUAUGCCAAUAAUAGGGUGACAGAAGUUGCUGUUGAUAUUGGUAAUUUGGUGGUGUACACUGGUCAGAUACAUAUAUGCUCUAACUAGUUUUUCACUUAAGCAUUUUGACUAUUGUUGGAAACCACUGUUUUGCAAAGGAUACACUCUAGCAGUUGAUACGAAAGAUUUUUUAACUAAAGUAGGCAAAAUGCCAAAGUGGAAAAAUAAGCCUACCUGUUCAUUCACUGUCAUAUUAAAGCAACAUUCUGGCCAGGAUAAUUAUCAUUAAUCAACUACAAGAUUAAAUAUUCCACAAUCAUGCAUUUCCACUGUAUUGCUAGCAUGCAGGUUAAUCACCUGUGAAAAUACAUUCGCAGUAAUUCUUACAACUGAUAGUCUUAUUAGAUUGUUUUAUCAACAUGAAUAUUUUAAAUAGUUAUAUGUUAUUAGAACGUUGACGGUUGUAAAUACUGUCAGAGUAUGCACAAAUAUGUUCCUCGCCAUGUAAUAAUUUAUAGUUUAUAACAAAUUUUGAUUGUGCACAAUUAACCCCUGGAAAAACAUACUUCAGAUAAACAGACACCUUGUGGCUCAGUGCCAUGUUCUACAACACAUUUCGCAGCAUGUUGUCAACCGGUGCUGCACACAGAUAAGGAUACCAUAACAAAUUAUCAAGAAUUGCAAAUACUUUGUGUUGCUGAUGAGGUAUACAACAAUGGUACUCUGAAUAAUGUAAAUAUUUUUAUUACUAUACAUAUUACUACAUUCAUUCCAUACUUUAUGUGUGUUGGUGUUAUGUACUAAGGUGAAUAUGAUGUUUGUGGUGUUACUCUGAGUGUGCAUCCACACCGGGCAAGUUGAAAAGUCUGCUUAACCACAGUGGGAUUCGAACCCACAACCUUUGGGAUACUAGUCCAAUGCUCUGCCAACUGAGCUAUGAGGUCAUGUCGGUUCAAGUUGGUGAUAUUUCGGAACUGAGUUUAGUUCCUUCGGCUCGGUUGGCAGAGCAUUGGACUAGUAUCCCAAAGGUCACAGGUUCGAAUCCCACCGUGGUCAGGCAAACUUUUAAGCUUGUCUGUUGGGGAUGCACACUCAGAGUAUUAAUACCACAAACUGACAAACAUAUUCAUUCCAAAUGGUCAAAACAUAGAGUAAUAAAAAUGCUUUCAUUAUUUGGAUAUGUAUGUAAGCUUUGCAAAUUUAUGAUGUCAUUUUACAACAUGUCUAUGAGAAAUAGGAAUACAAAUUCAUACUGAAUUAGCUCAUUGAGUGGCAGCACUCUCCCCUUAAUAGGUAAAACUGUCUAGUGUUAGAGUAAAAUAAUAAAGUAGGGAUGGGUGCAUCAGGGUGCAAUGCCAAGGUUAAUGCAUAAACAAAAGCCAAUAUUUAUAUCAAUAUAUUGCCAACUGUUCUCAAUUUCUAAUGUCGAAUUCUAGGCUGAUUAAUUAGUAUAUCUAAUAAGAUCACAAUCAACUCAUGUGUUUUAUACUUGCAAAGGAGAAAUAACUGGGGUUUUAAAUGAGGGAGGGGGGGGGGGGGCUUAAAAGAGAAUUUUUGACAACUCAUAAAAUUGCAUAACUUCAAAUAAAUUAUGAGAACAUGUGUUACUUAAGUGGUACUAGGUCAUUUCUUUGGGCUUUUUCUUUUCUUCACAGGUUCAUCACUAACUCACAUUUUCUCUGAUAGCAGGUGCAAUGUCUCUUUGUACAGCAAUGGUGAGGUCAUUGCAGCCAAACUGCUGGGCUGUGGGAUUGUCAGUCUGUCAGAGUGUCCACCUUUCGCUUGUUCAUGACCAAAAUAGUCCCCUAACCCAUCUUACAUAAACCUUUCGCUGAGAACAUGAAUCAGGAAACCCAACCAAGUUGUGAUCAGAUGUUGGGUCGACAAUGUACAACUGAUUGAGUGUUCACAUCUUCUGCCAAGCAUACUUGUUAAAAUGCAUUCGGGCUUGAAAUGAAGUUCACAGAGAUAAACGUUGCUUGCUUCAAUACGUUUCUUAAAGUCUGUAGUCAACACCGUGUCCUCGGGAUUAAAUUUGUCCAUUCCUUUCACGCGUUUUCAUUCAAUUGUCAGGUUUGCUCGCUGUCGUCGGCACGAACGGACGGCAGUUUAAAGAAUGAAAGCCCGUGCUUUCUGCUGCUUGAACAAUCAUAAAAUGCACAGUUUUCGCUAGGCAUGACAUUUAUCUUGCCAUCCGACAAAAAAUAGAAUUGAAAUAAAAAAACAACCGCUUUAUAUUGAAAUUUCGAACGCAGGUUUUGUAUACAUUCUGUAUAUUCCUAAUAAGCGAUUGAGAUCUGAUGCAGGGACCGGACCACGUGACCCUUCAAAACAAGGUUGAAUAACAUAAUUUGUCACGUGGUACAAGUAGCCUAACCAGUCUCCUUCUAUUAACCGUGGUAAAAGUUAACGCAAACAAGUGUUUUUAUAUUCAACUAUAGUCACUAGACUGCCGUCCAUUUAGUAUUUGAUAAACCGUGACCGGCUGCCGGUCAUAUAGUCACUUUGAUAAACUUUCGACUUUUGACGAAAUUCAGCAAACGUG